rnacentral:misc_RNA from 1 species
CCUUUCUAGGAGCAUCUGGCACUCCUCGGAGUGUCCAGGCGCCGGAUCUGAGCGAAUGUCUCAGCCGGUAGCUCAUGGGUGGGAACAUUUGACUUGGUGCGGAGGACGACGUUCCUCACUCAGUACGCUGCUUGCAGCUGGAACCGUGAAAGUUCGCCUGAUCCCGCACAUGCACGCUGUUGGGUCCUGAGGGCCCGGAUGCGCUCGAUCUUUCGGAUCGGGCCAGACGAAACUCAGGACCUUUUCUGUGUUGCCGGCAUCCGGCACGCGGGGAAGGUACCGCCCGUACUUUGAGAACUACACAGUGGACGCGAGCAUCUUUUGAGCUGAUCUUCGGAUCAGCUCUAAUUGAUGAUCUUAAAGAUCAUUAGUCAAUUUCGAGACGGACUUCGGUCCGAACCGAUUCUUGAUGAACUCAUGUGAUUUCAAGUCUUUAAGAGCAACGGUGGAUGCC